AUAAAAAUCUAAAAAAAAUCUGUUCUUAUCUGUUUUAAUAUUUGAUAUGUUCUCUAAGUGACGAUUUUAUAUUAACAACAAUUAUAUAGAUUCUUAGAGCAGGGAGCAUGGAGCAGGGAGCUUGCUCCUUCUGCUCCAUGCAUCAAACUGGCAUUGCAGUACCUUCAGGAAUGUUUCUCUUGUU